AGGAAUCUGCCUGGUAGUGGGGGAUAACGUCCGGAAACGGGCGCUAAUACCGCAUACGUCCUGAGGGAGAAAGUGGGGGAUCUUCGGACCUCACGCUAUCAUAUGAGCCUAGGUCGGAUUAGCUAUUUGGUGGGGUAAAGGCCUACCAAGGCGACGAUCCGUAACUGGUCUGAGAGGAUGAUCAGUCACACUGGAACUGAGACACGGUCCAGACUCCUACGGGAGGCGGCAGUGGGGAAUAUUGGACAAUGGGCGAAAGCCUGAUCCAGCCAUGCCGCGUGUGUGAAGAAGGUCUUCGGAUUGUAAAGCACUUUAAGUUGGGAGGAAGGGCAGUAAGUUAAUACCUUGCUGUUUUGACGUUACCAACACAAUAAGCACCGGCUAACUUCGUGCCAGCAGCCGCGGUAAUACGAAGGGUGCAAGCGUUAAUCGGAAUUACUGGGCGUAAAGCGCGCGUAGGUGGUUCAGCAAGUUGGAUGUGAAAUCCCCGGGCUCAACCUGGGAACUGCAUCCAAAACUACUGAGCUAUAGUACGGUAGAGGGUGGUGGAAUUUCCUGUGUAGCGGUGAAAUGCGUAGAUAUAGGAAGGAACACCAGUGGCGAAGGCGACCACCUGGACUGAUACUGACACUGAGGUGCGAAAGCGUGGGGAGCAAACAGGAUUAGAUACCCUGGUAGUCCACGCCGUAAACGAUGUCGACUAGCCGUUGGGAUCCUUGAGAUCUUAGUGGCGCAGCUAACGCGAUAAGUCGACCGCCUGGGGAGUACGGCCGCAAGGUUAAAACUCAAAUGAAUUGACGGGGGCCCGCACAAGCGGUGGAGCAUGUGGUUUAAUUCUAAGCAACGCGAAGAACCUUACCUGGCCUUGACAUGCUGAGAACUUUCCAGAGAUGGAUUGGUGCCUUCGGGAACUCAGACACAG
rnacentral:rRNA from 1 species